rnacentral:lncRNA from 1 species
CUUGUUUAUUAGUUACACCUUUUUCCUUCCUGGUUACAAUAUCUGAACUAAUAACGUCCAUUUUGUUAUAAUUACAACUUGCAAUUCAGGUAAAUAUUAGGUAAAUAUUUAUUUCUAUCAAUCUGACAUGUAAACAUGUGCUUUUAAAAUGCAUUUACAAUGUUGCGAUGGUUACAUAUUUAUAUUUAAAUUCGUGAUUUGAGAGACGAUCUUAAGAAUUAUGGAAUAACAGGUUUUAUAACAAACUGAAACAAAAAAUAUGAAACGAUUUUAUCGAGGAAACUAAUAACUUAAUUUAUAACAGAGCAAUUUACAAACAACAAUAAUAACAGAACUUUUCAAAUGACAACAACUGAAUUAUCAAAGGUGUGAAUAUUUCAAAGAGCAGUCACAAUGAAUAAACACGUAUCGGUAAGCCGAUAUAUGAAGAUCAACUUCUUUCUACUUUAUUUGUUUAAACCUAUUGUUCAUGGUUCACUAUAAGUCUGUCAAAUUGCGGUUUGGACCAUAGGUAUGCGUCUGAAUAAGGAAGGUAAGCUAUACUACUGCUUUCUUUAAAAAAAGAAAAGCAAUACAUGAACCCACAACUGCUGACUGCGGUCAACAACAUUAGUUGAUGUGAUUUGCUUUUGAUUUGAACAAAUUUACUGUGAAUGAGAUAUUGAUCAAUAUUAAUGAGUUUUGUUGUCACAUCAUUAUUGAAAAUAUGUAAUAGUGGGUAGAUUAUUGCACAUGUGAAUUAAUUUACUUAAUUUUUACUUUGUGUUUUAUGUACAAAUUGCAAUUCCCAAUUUUAUGCAAACUCUAGUGACAGGGAAAUUUUAUUGACUCUGCACAUACGCUAAUCUCAGUUGCUUUUUUUGUUUAAUAUUUUGACUUUUAUAAAUUGAUAUCGAUUAAAUUGUUUCCUGGAAGUUUUUAAUUAUCCUGCAUAAUUAUUUGAUGUCGUGACAAUCAUACACAUUUAUUUGUAAUGUAACACGAGGACAUAUAGAUAAAUAAAUUUAAAGUUCUGGACCUCAGAUUUGAAUAUGGUUUAGGUUAUUGUCAAAUACCUUGAUAUAUGACUUAUAAUAUCUACUAUAAGAUUGUUCUGUGAAUCUUCAAAAAAAAGUAAACCAAAUAAAUAUAGAAAAGAAGUUGUGUGAUUUCGAUGAGAUUCUUUCACAAGAACCUUAUAACACAAAAAUUAACAGCUAUAAUUUUCAACACCUUAUAAAAAAAAAACAUAGCCCCUACACAGUCAGCUACAAUAGGCCUUGAAAAGAAAUGUAAACACUUAGAAAAGAACAUCACAAAUACGAAAUUUAAAUAUGAGUUUAUGAUAUAAAAAUGUUUUAAUGAAAAAAUGAUGAAUUAACACUUUUAAAGAAUACAUCGAUAAAUAGUUCCCUUUUGGAACCUUAUUUCAUGUUAUAGAAGUGACCAAAGUAUCUGGGAUGUACACGUCCGUAAUUAUCCACUAAUUUAUUUCAGUACAAUAACAAAGCGACAUUUCAAGAAAGCCGGUCCGUAGUGCGCAUGCGUCACUGGUCAUAUGAAUUCGAUAUAUAGAAGUCAACGGGAAAUAUAUUUUCAAUCGACGAUUUAAACAUUUCUUAGAAAAAAAAUGUUUCACCUUGUUUGCAUUUGUUCUUCAUAUUUUAGCAAAAGGGUAAUAUUUUUUUUUUUUCGAUUUUCUUUCUUGAUACAAUUUACUUUAGUAACAGUCAUUGUUACAAAUACUUACAUGUAAGUACUGAUAACCAGAAGGGCACAUCUUUAAAAAUAUUUUAAAAUUACUAAAUAAAGUACAUUUAUUGACCUUGUAUCAUAAAAGUAGAAAGAUUGCAGAAUCUUUUGAUAUAAGUUCGACAUUAAAAAUAUAUUACUCUUGAUACAUCUUUAAUAAAAAAUGAAUAUUACUCAAUAUUCAUGACGAGCUCAGAUUAAUGUAAAAUGAUAUACCGAGCACUAGAUGUCUGCAGCGCGUAUAUAUCAUUAUACUCAAAAAUAUAUUUUUCAUAUUUAAAAAUUAAAAUUUAUAAUGUUUUAAUUGGUAUUGUUUAAUUUUUUUACUGUACACGUUAUCUUCGUGAAAACUUAAUUAUAUACACAUGUAUAUUAUAUUCGAUAAAUAAAUAAAUAUUUAAAAACAAUGGUUUAAAAUUGAAAUUACAAUGUAAUCGUGCACUAUCAUGUUCAAUUAAAAAAAACAACUUUAAAUAAUUAUAGACAAUAUGUUUCAAAUUUAUUUACUGAACAUUUAUAAGUAUACGAGCUUACUAUACAAAUAUUCGAAAGUAGGUAAUUAAUAGUAAAAUCCUCUGAAAGGUCACAACCGUCAAAACAAUAAGUUAAGAUUCAUUAAUUAAAAAGAAGUAAAGAAAGCAGGUACAUGAGGAUAUUCUUAACAAGAGUAGUGGUCGACUCUGGUAUAAGGUUGUAUCAAUAUCAAUAAUUCAUCAUCAUAUAUUUAUAUAAGGCCAAGAGAUUCAGUGUACGAAACAAUGAAACAAGAAUAACAGUAAUAUAUUUUUCUCGAUAUGAUGGCAAAACAGUACUGUAAAUUGUUAUAAUAAUAACGUGGAGCUUCUCUGUACCGGUUAUACAAUAUAUAACGUUUCCUUCAAAGAUAUGAGAGUUUAGUAAAAACAAACGAAAUAUUUUGUGAUAGAAUAAUAAAGGAUAUCGGUAUCAACCCAUGACAGAAAUAUAUAUCUUGAUGACAAAUUAUUCUUGAAAGAAUAAAAAAAAUAAGUACAGCAUUACUCUUCACAAAAGAAGAAUGACCAGUGCUGUAUCCUUUCUUUCAAAUUAAACACAGAAUAUAGUGCGUGUGUCAGUUAUUACUUUGUAGCAUGAUUAAAGAGAUCACUUUUGGUGUGCUUUAGAUGAAAUGGUUGACCAGUUUAGAAUACCCUUGAUCUGAACAUGGAAGUAAAAUGUCAAUAUAACACUUCCAUGAUCUGUACAUAGUAUGCGGUAGUUGCAUUGUCCACUGUAAUAUUGUAAAGUAAGACGUUGAUAACCUCCCGCGGAGUACAUGUAUGAUAGGAGAUAAACAACUUGUAAAUAGUCGAUCGAUACAAUAUUGAUACUUUUUGCUAGAAUAUAUUCUCUAAGAACCGAUCUCAUAUUUGUGCAAUGAUAAUGUGAGUUUGUUUAUUUUCGUUCUCAUCUAUGCAUAUUUAAGACUGUUGUGCGGACAUAGCGAGUUUAUUUCAAAAAGUUUUUAUUACGCCAUAUUUUUAUAAAGACAAUUUAGUUAACAAUCUCGUAUUGGUGCUUUUGGCAAAGACCCCCUCUUUUUUCUCAUGGAAACAAUUUGUAUUUUAAUUUUAUUCUAUAUGUCAACUAAUUAACUUAUUUGCCAUGCAUGGCGUUGUCAGUAUUUUAAAGGUUUUUUUUCGACUUGUUUGUCAUGAGUGUCCCCUUGGUGUCUGCAGCCUCUGUUUUGAAAGAUUGACCCGACCAACGGACUACGCCAUCAAAAUAAGAAUAUAAAAUAUGAUUGAUCAUUUUAUAUCAAUCAACGAAGAAUCUUGGCUAUUCUUUAUGACCAACACUAGGCUUCUUUAUGUCAUUCUCUAUAGGAGUACUUAGUACUGAGUUCAAACGUAUUGUUCCAACUUCUCUUGUAUCCCCACAACCCUUUUAAGUAGAUUUUGCGCACUAGUAAUUCACAACUUGAGUUCAUAGCUUACAAGUUAUUAAAGUUUGAAAUUUUAUUAAGUAUUGUACUUUUAGGUAUAGGACUUGAAUAACUUCAGUUUGCGUUCAUGUCAGAAAAAAACGAGCCGCGUCUGUACGGGCUAUCACAAGACAACCAUUUCUUGUCGUAAGCAUUACUUUCUUUACGUGUAUAGACAUUUAAUUGAUAACUAUUCAUAAUAUUACAAUGGGAUUGAAUUGUAAUUAGCCUAACGUCCUAUGGUUCCUUUGUUAACAUAUAGUAUGGAUUGGGUCAAAAUAAUUGUUGUAGAGAAAAAACAACUUAUUCUUUAAAUGCAACUUAUGUUUAUGUACGAAUAAUAUGACCGAAUUCUGUGAUUAUGUAUAUUCGUUCCAAGCCAGGACCAUGUAGACUGAGUAUUGCCAUAUCUAGGCGUUAUUUUGGUUAUUUCUGUCAUUUGGUUUGCUGUCUUAUUGCCGUUCACAUCAUCUUUUAUUUAUAACUCUCAAUUAAAACACAUUGAUGUUAUGCUUGUGACGUGACGACUUUCAAAGUGAUGAAUGUUGCUCGAGUAAACGAUUGCCGAUUUAUCGAAUGAGCAAAAGAAUGGAAGAGCAAUAUUUAUUUAACUGGCAAAACUUUCAUUAUCAAAGAUUCAAAUUACGAAAAGAAAAAAGACAAAAAACCGACCUACAAUUAUUACAAGCGAAAUGUUAAGUGGUAUUAACACACACCCAGAUUUUUUAAACAAAUCCCCAUCAUUCCUAAAAAAAAAAUGAAAAUAAAAAAUCUAAUUAAAAAAAUAAUAAUAUAAAACUUAAAACAAAAGACACGUUGUUAAUUGUAACAACCAGCUAACGUAUAUAAACUGAAAUAAAAUAGAGAAUGGAAACAGGGAAUUUGUCAAAGGGACAGCAGCUGUUAUAGAUCAUUCAUAAGCGUGAAUGGGUUUACGAUUUUUUUUAGAAAACUUGGAUGUUAUGCGUUUACUUUCUACAUUGGUUAAGUAUAGGGGGAGGGUUUGAGAUCUCACAAUCAUGUUUAACCCGCCGCAUUUUUGCGCCUGUCAAGUCAGGAGCCUCUGGCCUUUGUUAGUCUUGUAUUAUUUAAUUUAGUUUCUUGUGUACAAUUUGGAAAUUAGUAUGCUUCAUUAUCACUGGACUAGUAAUAUAUUUGUUUAAGGGCCAGCUGAAGGACGCCUCGGGUGCGGAAUUUCGCUACAUUGAAGACCUGUUGGUGACCUUCUGCUGCUGUUUUUAUUUGGGUCGGUUGUUGUCUCUUUACACAUUCCCAUUUCCAUUCUCAAUUUUAUAUCCAAAAUGUUAACAUAGUCGGUUUUCGAUAUAUUAUCAAUUUCCAUAAUAUAAUCAGAACAUUUAUUGUGUAUGUUUAUAUCAUACAUUUUAAGAUAAGAGACAAAAAGUACAAGGUGCUAAUUGCCAGACCUCGAUAUUUACCACACACGCUGGGAUGGAUUGAUAACAAUGUAUGCUAGAGUUAUCAGUCCUUGAAAUAAAUUUAUUGACAAGAUUGGAUUACCUCCCUUAAACCGGACUAAUUCUUGGCAAUGAUGUCUUCAAAGGGUUAUUUAUUGAUAUACAAUAUUGACACAUCUUGCUUUCAUAUUCACACUUGCACCCAAAAAAGACCGGAUUCCAUAUGGAUUUUUACUUUACACUUAAACGGUUUGUUCAUACUAUACCAAAAUAUCCAAUGAAUCAUAUUUCUUAUCUAUAACAUUGAAUUAAUGAUAAUAAAGUCAAAGUCAAAUCAAGUUUAGCUCAGUUUGAAUCUUCACAAGGCGAUCAACCACGAAUACGAGACACCUCAUGAAAAUCAGAAUAUGUUCAUGUUAUGCUAAAUUUCUAAGUAACUUCAUACGUAUAUUACAAUCUGUUUUAGUUAUGAUAUGUUUGAUAUGUAUCUAUCUAUACUUAUAGAAAUGAAUAUUUGUUUUCUCCAAUCAAAUUAAAAAAGUACAAUUAUUUGUAUUUUAUUUAAAUUGUAUUAGUUGCUUUCUUAUUAGAAUUACGUGUAAGAAGCUGAACUGUUCUUGAUUCUACAUCAUCAUACAAAUUCACUUGACAUUUUUCCGUUUCACUUUGUCUUUUUGUUUUGGCUUUUUAAUGCGAAUUGCUACGUUGAUUUUUCGACACUUCUAAUAUUUAAGCUUUCAUUAGGAGGGAUUAAGAAACUAUUUAAGAAACUUGUACACUUUGGAAGAAUGUAGCGUAACACUGAUGUGAGCACGAAAUAGAUUUGAGAAAAAAACGAGAAAAACUGUCACUGCUACCAAAUCAAUAUCAAAUUUGGACAAUACGGACCUUUGAUGAAGAGAACAAUGAAACUAAAUGACGAAUCUCGCGAUAUUGCCCUGUCCCGUAGUUAUAUAUGUUAUAUCUUUGUAUCUUACGAAUGCAAAAGUAUAAUUACUUUCUUCCAUAUUUUUAAAAUGGAACACAUUGUCUAUUACAGAAGGUUGAAGUAAGCAAAUUGAACAAACAACUUAACAAGAAAUGUGGAAGUUUCAUCGUAUCUGUGGUAAAAACAUUUCUCUGGAAAACAAUUGUACCACUGCAAAGCGAUAAGAUCCAACCAAAACAAUUGGUAAUGGUAUUUGUUUUACCAACACACCAUUAGUGAAUGGCAAAGUUUAUGAAAUACAAGUAGACGAGCUAGUUACCAAAUUGAGUUUAUCACUUAUCUUAGGUACUUUUGUUAUCAUACUUUACAAACUAAUAAUAAUGUUAUUGAAAUGACCGAACCAAACACUACUAUCAAGUAAAAGGUUGAUAGAAUCGCUAUUCAAACAAA